rnacentral:rRNA from 1 species
GACGAACGCUGGCGGCGUGCUUAACACAUGCAAGUCGAACGGAAAGGCCCUGCUUUUGUGGGGUGCUCGAGUGGCGAACGGGUGAGUAACACGUGAGUAACCUGCCCUUGACUUUGGGAUAACUUCAGGAAACUGGGGCUAAUACCGGAUAGGAGCUCCUGCUGCAUGGUGGGGGUUGGAAAGUUUCGGCGGUUGGGGAUGGACUCGCGGCUUAUCAGCUUGUUGGUGGGGUAGUGGCUUACCAAGGCUUUGACGGGUGGCCGGCCUGAGAGGGUGACCGGCCACAUUGGGACUGAGAUACGGCCCAGACUCCUACGGGAGGCAGCAGGGGGGAAUAUUGCACAAGGGGCGGAAGCCUGAUGCAGCAACGCCGCGUGCGGGAUGACGGCCUUCGGGUUUUAAACCGCUUUCGCCUGGGACGAAGCGUGAGUGACGGGAAUGGGUAAAGAAGCACCGGCUAACUACGUG